rnacentral:rRNA from 1 species
UACGUAGGUGGCGAGCGUUAUCCGGAAUGAUUGGGCGUAAAGGGUGCGUAGGCGGCCUGCUAAGUCUGGAGUGAAAGGUACCGGCUCAACCGGUACAGGCUCUGGAAACUGGUAGACUUGAGAGCAGGAGAGGAGAGUGGAAUUCCAUGUGUAGCGGUGAAAUGCGUAGAUAUAUGGAGGAACACCGGUGGCGAAAGCGGCUCUCUGGCCUGUAACUGACACUGAGGCUCGAAAGCGUGGGGAGCAAACAGG